CCUCUUCCAUCUCAUCAAGUACUCAGCUAUCAUCAUCAACAUCAUCAUCAUCAUCCUCACAGUGUUGAAGAAAAGGAUCAACUAUUAGGUGCAACUUUCUUGUAUCAAUAAGUUGGUCUAUUUAAUUACUUUAUAAUUUGUAUGUAAAUAUGCGUGACAUGUUCUCCUUUCUUCUUGUUAUUUAGGUUAGGUUUUGGGGAAUAUAUGUUACAAUC
rnacentral:misc_RNA from 1 species